rnacentral:rRNA from 1 species
GUGGGCAACCUGCCCCUGACACUGGGAUAACCCCGGGAAACCGGAGCUAAUACCGGAUACUCUCGGCCGAUCACAUGGCUGGCCGAGGAAAGGUCCGCCGGUCAGGGAUGGGCCCGCGGCCUAUCAGCUUGUUGGUGGGGUAACGGCCUACCAAGGCGACGACGGGUAGCUGGUCUGAGAGGACGACCAGCCACACUGGAACUGAGAUACGGUCCAGACUCCUACGGGAGGCAGCAGUGGGGAAUAUUGCACAAUGGGCGAAAGCCUGAUGCAGCGACGCCGCGUGAGGGAUGAAGGCCUUCGGGUCGUAAACCUCUUUCGGCAGGGACGAAGCGAUCAGUGACGGUACCUGCAGAAGAAGCCCCGGCUAACUACGUGCCAGCAGCCGCGGUAAGACGUAGGGGGCGAGCGUUGUCCGGAUUUAUUGGGCGUAAAGCGUGCGUAGGCGGCUGCGCAAGUCGGGUGUGAAACCCCGGGGCUCAACCCCGGAACUGCAUCCGAUACUGCGUGGCUAGAGGUAGGUAGGGGAGAUCGGAAUUCCUGGUGUAGCGGUGAAAUGCGCAGAUAUCAGGAGGAACACCGGUGGCGAAGGCGGAUCUCUGGGCCUUACCUGACGCUCAGGCACGAAAGCUAGGGGAGCGAACAGGAUUAGAUACCCUGGUAGUCCUAGCCGUAAACGUUGGGUGCUAGGUGUGGGCGGAUAUCGACCCCGUCCGUGCCGAAGCUAACGCAUUAAGCACCCCGCCUGGGGAGUACGGCCGCAAGGCUAAA